rnacentral:rRNA from 1 species
AUUGAACGCUGGCGGCAGGCUUAACACAUGCAAGUCGAGCGGGGACUUCGGUCCUAGCGGCGAACGGGUGAGGAAUGCUUGGGAAUCUGCCCAGUAGCGGGGGAUAACGUUUCGAAAGGAACGCUAAUACCGCAUACGCCCUACGGGGGAAAGGGGGGGAUCUUCGGACCUCUCACUAUUGGAUGAGCCCAAGUCGGAUUAGCUAGUUGGUGGGGUAAAGGCCUACCAAGGCGACGAUCCGUAGCUGGUCUGAGAGGAUGAUCAGCCACACUGGAACUGAGACACGGUCCAGAAUCCUACGGGAGGCAGCAGUGGGGAAUAUUGGACAAUGGGCGAAAGCCUGAUCCAGCCAUGCCGCGUGUGUGAAGAAGGCCUUCGGGUUGUAAAGCACUUUAAGCGAGGAGGAAUGGCUCUUGGUUAAUAACCUUGAGCAGUGACGUUACUCGCAGAAUAAGCACCGGCUAACUCUGUGCCAGCCGCCGCAGUAAUAC